UGGGGAAUAUUGCACAAUGGGGGAAACCCUGAUGCAGCGACGCCGCGUGAGCGAAGAAGGCUUUCGAGUCGUAAAGCUCUGUCCUAUGAGAAGAUAAUGACGGUAUCAUAGGAGGAAGCCCUGGCUAAAUACGUUCCAGCAGCCGCGGUAAUACGUAUGGGGCGAGCGUUGUCCGGAAUUAUUGGGCGUAAAGGGUACGUAGGUGGUUUUUUAAGUCAGGUGUCAAAGCGUGGAGCUUAACUCCAUUAAGCACUUGAAACUGAAAGACUUGAGUGAAGGAGAGGAAAGUGGAAUUCCUAGUGUAGCGGUGAAAUGCGUAGAUAUUAGGAGGAAUACCGGUGGCGAAGGCGACUUUCUGGACUUUUACUGACGCUCAGGUACGAAAGCGUGGGGAGCAAACAGG
rnacentral:rRNA from 1 species